AAAAACAUUUCCUCUUGGUAUAAGAGGUAAGGCCUGCUCACUGACUAGGUUGAAGAGCCGCAGUAUAUUGACUGUGCUAAGGUAGCAUAAUCAUUAGUCCUUUAAUUGGGGACUGGUAUGAAUGGCUAAACGAGAAAUUAGCUUUCUUCGUUAUGGUUUGUUGAAUUUAACUUGUAAGUGAAAAGGCUUACAUGAUUCAGAAAGACGAGAAGACCCUAUAGAGUUUUACAAAGGCCUAAAAUACAGCUUAUUAGUUUUUAAGGGUUAUAUUUUGGAAAUUUGUUUGGUUGGGGCGACAUAAAGAUAAAAAAAACUCUUUGUAGUAUAAACUUUGGUGGAAGAAAAGGUUUGAUCCUCUAAAAGGGAUUAUAAGAAAAAAUUACCUUAGGGAUAACAGCGUAAUCUUCUUUUAGAGUUCAAAUCGACAAGAAGGUUUGCGACCUCGAUGUUGGACUAAAAUUUGGGCAAGGUGCAGCAGCUUUGUUUUUGGGUCUGUUCGACCCGUAAUAUUUUACAUGAUCUGAGUU
rnacentral:rRNA from 1 species